rnacentral:rRNA from 1 species
CGGAUUGCAGGCUGAAACUCGCCUACAUGAAGCUGGAGUUGCUAGUAAUCGCGAAUCAGCAUGUCGCGGUGAAUACGUUCCCGGGCCUUGUACACACCGCCCGUCACACCAUGAGAGUUGGCAAUACCCAACGUACGUGAUCUAACCCGCAGGGGAGGAAGCGUCCUAAGGUAGGGUCAGCGAUUGGGGUGAAGUCGUAACAAGGUAUC